GAUGAACGCUGUCUACAGGCUUAACACAUGCAAGUCGAGGGGAAACGACGGGGAAGCUUGCUUCCCCGGGCGUCGACCGGCGCACGGGUGAGUAACGCGUAUCCAACCUGCCUCUGACUGAGGGAUAACCCGUCGAAAGUCGGCCUAAUACCUCAUGGCAUCGUCUGCGGGCAUCCAACGACGAUUAAAGAUUUCAUCGGUCAGGGAUGGGGAUGCGUCUGAUUAGCUUGUUGGCGGGGUAACGGCCCACCAAGGCUACGAUCAGUAGGGGUUCUGAGAGGAAGGUCCCCCACAUUGGAACUGAGACACGGUCCAAACUCCUACGGGAGGCAGCAGUGAGGAAUAUUGGUCAAUGGGCGGGAGCCUGAACCAGCCAAGGAGCGUGCAGGAUGACGGCCCUAUGGGUUGUAAACUGCUUUUAUGCGGGGAUAAAGUGAGGGACGUGUCCUUCAUUGCAGGUACCGCAUGAAUAAGGACCGGCUAAUUCCGU
rnacentral:rRNA from 1 species